ACUCCACUGCUUUAUCCCUCAUUUGCCAUUACUGAAAUGUCUUUCUCUUUUGUUUAUCAAGUUUUUCAUGCCUUUGUAUGCAUCUCUGCUCAUUUGGAGACAAGCAUUAGCCUCCAUCUUCCUCCUGGAAGCUUUUAAAAACACUUUUUAAUGAAGGUCAACAAAUGUGAGGAGAAAAGGUCUCUGAGAGCAAGAUGGCUGACCUUGAGGCAAUAGAGGCCUUUGACAUGAGGAAUUUGUGUGAGAGCAAGAUGGCCGCCCUUAAGGCAGUAGAGGCCUUUUGACAUGAGGAAUGUGUCUGAGAGCAAGAUGGCUGCCCUUAAGCCAGUAGAGGCCUUUUGACAUGAAGAAUAUCUUGGAGAGCAAAAUGGCCGCCCAUAAGGCCGUAGAGGCCUUUUGAUAGGAAGAAUAGCUCUGAGAGCAAGAUGGCCGCCCUUAAGGCACCAGAGGUCUGUUGAUAUGAAGAAUUGCUCUGUAAAAUAGGCCCUUUGAUAUGAGGGUGUGUAGCCUUGGCGACAGAAGUGUAAGCACAGGAGUAGCCUAUGUGGUGUUUUCUAGAUGUUGGACUACAACCCCCAUCAUCCCUUGACCUCUGGCCAUGCUGGCUGGGGCUGAUGGGAUUUGGGAGUCCCGACAUCACCUGCCAGCUACUCCUAGUGUAGAAACUGUCGUGGCUUUUGAGGUUCUUAAUUUUUUUUUUUAGACUUCUUUGAUUCUCUUUAGCAAGCUACGAUUCCAAGAGGGAAGCCAUAUAUCUCUCCGGAAUCAGCUUAGGGCCGAGGUUUUUGCAACAAUGGCUGUUUUUACUUGCACUGGUUGGAUUCAGGUAUCCCCCAGCUGCGAUGAGAGAAUUAAGCUUCAAUGAUCACAGUAUUCAGCGGAGAAGGGAAUAAAAUCCUGUCAACUU